rnacentral:rRNA from 1 species
GACGAACGCUGGCGGCGUGCUUAACACAUGCAAGUCGAACGGAAAGGCCCUGCUUUUGUGGUGUGCUCGAGUGGCGAACGGGUGAGUAACACGUGAGUAACCUGCCCUUGACUUUGGGAUAACUUCAGGAAACUGGGGCUAAUACCGGAUAGGAGCCCCUGCUGCAUGGUGGGGGUUGGAAAUUUUCGGCGGGUGUGGAUGGACUCGCGGCUUAUCAGCUUGUUGGUGGGGGAGGGGCUUACCAAGGCUUUGACGGGUAGCCGGCCUGAGAGGGUGACCGGCCACCAUGGGACUGCGAGACGGACCAGUCUCCUACGGGGGGCAGCAGUGGGGAAUAUUGCACAGUGGGCGGAAGCCUGAUGCAGCAACGCCGCGUGCGGGAUGACGGCCUUCGGGUUGUAAACCGCUUUAGCCUGUGACGAAGCGUGAGUGACGGUAAUGGGUAAAGAAGCACCGGCUAACUACGUG